rnacentral:lncRNA from 1 species
ACAUGGCUGGAUAUAACUGGAGCACGUGAGUGACGGGGACCUGGAACAGCGUCUGUGGGAGAGGAGCUGGGGCCAGGACCCAGAGGUCUGAGAGAGAAGGGCAAACACAGGAGCAAUUAAAAUAGAAUUGGGCAUGGUGGAGCACAUCUUUAAUCCCAACACGCAGGAAGCAGUGGCAGACAGAGCUCUGUGAGGUGGAGGCUAGCCUGGUCUACAGAGCGAGUUACAGGACAGCCAGGGCUACACUGCACCUCCUUCCGCCAAAUCAAAUCGGUACAACCAUAGUCCUAGUAACAAUUUAAUCUGUGACUGUGACUGGGGUUUUCAGGGUGGUUGGAUUCUGGCCAUGGCCACACCAGCUGUCCAGGGAUUUUUUUUUUCUCCUACCACACCCCUCGGGAAUCCCCAUCUCUGUGUAGGUUAAAGGUCACAGAGCUGGGACAAUGGUCUUUUAGUCCUUAGGUGAGUCACCCAGGUUAGAAGCAAAUCAAAGAUGUCUGCCUUUAUCCAGAUCCAUUUAAUUCCUGACUGUCCACCUCCUCUGCUCCUGAAACCACCAUUCAAUCCAGUGCACAGAUAAGAAAGUUACCUCAGCGCUGCCAGAAGCUCCAAAUGCCUUUGCAGGUUGAGGUUAUAUGGAAGGGAAAGAGAAACGGCUCAGUUGGGGAAGUGCUUGAUGUACAAACACAAGAUCCUAAGUCUGAUCGCCAGCACCCAUGUAGAUGAGACCUCAUCUC